rnacentral:rRNA from 1 species
GAUUGAACGCUGGCGGCAGGCCUAACACAUGCAAGUCGAACGGUAACAGGAAGCAGCUUGCUGCUUYGCUGACGAGUGGCGGACGGGUGAGUAAUGUCUGGGAAACUGCCUGAUGGAGGGGGAUAACUACUGGAAACGGUGGCUAAUACCGCAUAACGUCGCAAGACCAAAGAGGGGGACCUUCGGGCCUCUUGCCAUCAGAUGUGCCCAGAUGGGAUUAGCUWGUUGGUGAGGUAACGGCUCACCAAGGCGACGAUCCCUAGCUGGUCUGAGAGGAUGACCAGCCACACUGGAACUGAGACACGGUCCAGACUCCUACGGGAGGCAGCAGUGGGGAAUAUUGCACAAUGGGCGCAAGCCUGAUGCAGCCAUGCCGCGUGUAUGAAGAAGGCCUUCGGGUUGUAAAGUACUUUCAGCGGGGAGGAAGGUGUUGUGGUUAAUAACCRCAGCAAUUGACGUUACCCGCAGAAGAAGCACCGG